GACGAACCGAGCGAACGUUGUUCGGAAUCACUGGGCUUAAAGGGCGCGUAGGCGGAUUUGCAAGUCCGUUGUGAAAUCCCACAGCUCAACUGUGGAACUGCCUCGGAUACUGUGAGUCUCGAGGGUGGUAGGGGUAUGCGGAACUAUCGGUGGAGCGGUGAAAUGCGUUGAUAUCGAUAGGAACUCCGGUGGCGAAGGCGGCAUACUGGACCACUUCUGACGCUGAGGCGCGAAAGCCAGGGGAGCAAACGGG
rnacentral:rRNA from 1 species